AGGUAAGGGAGAGGGAGGAGAGACUUGGCAGAGGCAGGGGUGAGCUAGGCCCCUAGCAGCUUUGGCUUAGGUUCCUUCAAAAUAGCAGGGAAGCUGUUAGCAUUAAUGCUAACUGGUAACAGUGGAUGCAAUAUCACAUUCCAGUGAAGGAAUAACACUCUUGUGUCAUCAGUGUUGCAAAGACCACACAAUGAAGUUGCAAACAAAUAAUUCUCAACUGCAAUUCAGAAAAUCUGCUUAGGAGUCGCAUCUUCACUGGCUACAUCUCGCUGAUCUUGAUUUUGUCUGGAAUUAGCUACAGAUUAAUCUGGUGAUUGAGCACCUGGUGGGAAGGCAGGGCCAACCCAGGGGAGCUCAGGUGUAUGCAGUGUACCUGAGUGAAGGAGUAGAGCCAGCAUCCAUCCCUUUCCAGACCUCAUCUAAGGGUUGGCAGUGGAGGUGAGGGCAUCUUGUUGGAGAUCUCUGUGUACCUGAGCCCUUCUAAGGGUUUGCACAGUGCAAGUUUCAGCAGACUGAAAAGCCUGAAGACCUGAGGUUAUGGUGAGGAUGUUCAUGUGAGGCUGGACAGCGUCUUUUUCUUACCUGCUCAGAUAGGAGAUUGAAGGCUCUUCAUGAUGGGCUUUGCCUUGCACCUCAGGUACAGAUCCUGCUUACUCCCACCAUUGUGUAAUUUUGUGUGUUAGUAUUCCAGGCUGCCAUAAAAUGAACAGAGAGAUUGAGAUUAGGUUGGUUUCAAUUUUACAUCUUGCAAUCAGCUACAAGUAGGGAAAAAAACAAAUGUCCUUGGGAAAGCAGCUGUAGAGCAUUUGGUUUGCUGUGGGGGAGCAAAGAGGGUACCAGGCUGCAAAACACUGGGAUCAUCUAAAGAAACACACUGGUAGCUGCCCCCUCCUCCCAUGUCAGAUAAAGUUUGCAAGCAUGCUUUCAAGCAGCUUAAGUCUCCUCCUAAUCUUAUAAGAGAAAUGGAAUUAUUUGCUCUUGCUUAUAUCUACAGUGAUUUCUGUCUCUCUUGUCUGUCAUGUGAGUCAGAUCUUAAACCUCUUUGUAAACUUCAAUUAAAUGUUUAGCCACAGACGGGGGGAUGUGUUUCAGACAAGCUUUGGUGAAUGCCCUGGCGUGUUUUGAAGCACAGCAAUGUGAAGUGAUGAGAAUAUUAGCAUUUUUGCUGUUGGGCUUCAAGAUGAUCUGAGAAGUUGCUGCUGUCACACACCAAUCAUUUUUGAGUACGAAUGAGUAUAUGUGCAAAAUUGAAGACACACGUUUAAGUCUUUCUGAUGAUGUCUGAAUGGACUAUAGAGAUGGGUAAAGUCUCUGCAGGUGAGACUUGAGCAUUUACUGAAUGACAAC
ensembl:lncRNA